AAUGUUUGAUUGUGUGGCUUGUGUGCUUCUGGUGUGCUUCCUUGUUAAUUGGUAAUUUGACUCAAUAAUUUUCUUCUAAAACUUAUUGGGCCGCGGGUUGGUAAAUUCCGAGCCAAUACCGCUGCAGGUUGGUAAACUCCGAGCCAACGCGCUGGUACUAAGUAAAUGAUAGGCUUGGGGACCCGGGCUAGCACAUCUACAUUGUUGAGCACAUCACACAUAUUUAGAUAUUAUUAUGUAGACAUAUAUGUUUCUAUACCUUCUAGUCGUGUUGUAUUAUUCACUUAAUCCCGUUUACCUUAUGAACCGUUAUUUUUGGCGUCUCCCGACAUAAUAAGAUUUUAUGAACUCCACGGAUGUUUCUUUUUAAGUUAAAAUGUCAAUAUCUAUUCUCUUAUUGCUAUGUGCCUGUCGUGGAUGUCCUUAUCUACAAACAAAACUCUGUCCAAUUUUCGAAUGAACUCUUGACUUUCUAGUUUUUGGUAUAGUGUGGUAGCAUCCUAGGAAGGGUUGAUUCUCGGGAUGUUACAGUUGGUAUCAGAGCCUAGGUUUGUCGAUCUCUGGAUAUAGUUUUUCUAUAAAAAAGGACUUUAGUUUUUAUCUUGGUUGAUUAAACACAUAAAAUUUGACGUAGGAUCUAACAACUUAAAAUUUGACACACUGGUGCACAAUAGGAUGGGCUUUGGGUAUUUAUUGCAUUUACGGUUUAGCAUUUUUAUUUGUUUGUUUAUCUCAUCCUUUUGAGUAUGGAAUGCAUAUGAUUAGGUGUUGUUGAUUUCUUUUGUUGAUUAUUCAUAAUGUGUAAUAUAGUUAUGCCGCCGAGACGUAGAGGCCGAGCUUGUGGCCGAGCUCAUGCAAGGCGGGGUUGGGUUGGCCGCAAUGGCCGUGUGGAGGAAUCAGAUGUGGAGGCUGAGCAGAGUCACCGUAGCGAUGCGGAAGUAAGCCAAUUUGCUAAUAGUGAUGGACGUGGUGCUUCAGACAUGACACUCACUAAGUGGCUGGAUAUGAAGUUGGAGAAGUUUGAGGGAUCAGGAACACCGAUAGAUGCUGCAAGUUGGCUUCGCACCAUGGAGAAAUAUAUGGAUGCCUUGGUGAUGACACCGGAAGACAGAGUUGUUUAUGUAUCUUUUCAGCUGAAGGGCCUCGCGGAUGUUUGGUGUGAAGGAGUCCGUAAAGCUUGUAUACCAGCUCAUGGAGCGCUUACAUGUGACCUUUUUGUUAAGAACUUCACUGCAAAGUAGUACCCAACUUCAUUCAAGGAGAAGAUGGAUGUUGCCCUAAGGAAUAUUAAGCAAGGGAACAAGACCGUGGAUGAGUAUGAUGCCGAGUUUAGUAAGAUUGUUCACUUUGUCGACCAUAUAAAUCAUGAUGAGCCUGAGAAAGCCCGGAGAUUCUUCGAAGGGCUUAAUUCUGAAUAUAGACAUGUCAUGGGAGCAAACCGACCAAAUGACUAUUUCACUGUGCUUGAGCAGGCUAGGGGGAUGGAAUUACAAAUUCAGCUCACCGAGGUAGAGACAGCUCGCAAUAGAUGCACAAGUAGUGGGCAUAAGAGGAGUCAUCAAGAAGGUGCAGAGCUUACUAAGCAACCUGCUUUCAAGAAGUCUAAGCCAGACCAGCAAUCUCAGCCAACACCUGAAACCAUGUCCCAAGUUUCUUCACCUCCCUUUCACACAAGGAGCCAAUUCAUGCGCCCCAUUCCAGGGCAGGGCAUGAUAUGCUUCAGGUGUGGGCAAAAUCACCGUGCCAGAGAGUGUGACUUUUCUGGUUCUUAUAACCAAUGUGGCAAGUCUGGUCACAUGAGCCUCGUUUGCAAAAAAGAAUCCUAAUUCCAUCAUUAAGUGGCAGCCAAUCAACCCUUCUCUAGAAGGUUCAUCUCAUCAUGCAAAUCAAGGGAUUAUUUCUUCGCAUGGGUCAGUCAAAAUGAUGCAAGUUCCUCCUCAGUUCCCACCUCCGCCAACAGGCUAUCACUGGCAGGCAACUCCACUUCCAGCUCCAUAUGCUCAGCUUCAACUACCAGCUCCACCCACCAUACCUCCACAGCAGCAGCAUGUUGGGGAUUCUUCUAUUUUGACAAAUCCAGGAAUAUACACCAGGCCGCCAAUUUCUCAUGCUCCUUUAGAUGGGGUUACAGGUUUUGGAGCUUCGGGUGCGAGGAAGUAGUUAUUGAAUUUGAACACACGUCCGUGGCAAGUGCAUUACGAACCUUGUCGCCUUAAUGUUUGAUUGUGUGGCUUGUGUGCUUCUGGUGUGCUUCCUUGUUAAUUGGUAAUUUGACUCAAUAAUUUUCUUCUAAAACUUAUUGGGCCGCGGGUUGGUAAAUUCCGAGCCAAUACCGCUGCUGCAGGUUGGUAAACUCCGAGCCAACGCGCUGGUACUAAGUAAAUGAUAGGCUUGGGGACCCGGGCUAGCACAUCUACAUUGUUGAGCACAUCACACAUAUUUAGAUAUUAUUAUGUAGACAUAUAUGUUUCUAUACCUUCUAGUCGUGUUGUAUUAUUCACUUAAUCCCGUUUACCUUAUGAACCGUUAUUUUUGGCGUCUCCCGACAUAAUAAGAUUUUAUGAACUCCA